rnacentral:misc_RNA from 1 species
ACUCAAGACUAGUCGCUUUGGUAAUUGCAAGCCUGGAGUAAGACUGUAAUAAAAUUUGUUUAUAUUUUAUGGAUAAUUAUUAGAGGGAUCGAAAAUAUUAAAAAAUAAUAUUUUCUCUCUCAUAAAAAAGUGAGUUAUUUUUAUAAUAUAGAAAAUAAAUUUUAAGAAAUUAUAUAAAUGCACUAAGUGCACUUAAUAAUAUUUUAUAUUUUAUU